rnacentral:sRNA from 1 species
AUAAAAUUGUUAAGAUAUGCUCUAAAAAAAAUAGGUGGCAACAAAAACAGAAAAAGAAAAAAAAAAUGAUAAGAGCCAUAAGAGUUUAAGAAAAACCCAAUUCACUAGACUAGACUCAUAGAGUUUAAGAAAAGCUUCUCCUUAAGAACAAGAGCCAAAGAAAAUAAAAGAAAACAUUGAUCCAAGAAAAAAAUCGAAAUAUGCCUUUAGUGCAAAAGGGUAGACUUAGGAUCAUCAUUGUGUUUAGAGAUAAGACCAUCUACUUGUUAUUCACGGUUUAUGUCAUUGGGUAGAUGGGGUGCUAUUCUUGUAUGCAUAGGUUGGCACUUACCUUUAACAUUCUUCUAAAGCUCAGUCCUUUUUCAUUGAGAGUCCGCUGCUAUUAAAAUCUGAACCACUAAAAAGGGACCAUCUUUGUCUCAUAACCUGUCAUUAGCCAAAUGAGUUCACUAGGGAUUGGUUGAUCUUGACGCAUUGUGCAUUUGAUUGUAGGUUUGGAUCAUAACAGAGCAUGGCUAAAGUUUUUAAGUAGAAGUCGAUCACCUCGCAUCUUAGAAAUGUAAGCUGGUACAGUGAUCUUAAUUGUCAUAUCUCAUGCUUUGGUUCUGAAUUCCCAACUUCAAACCUCUCCUUCCGCUUAUGUCUUCUUGUUUGCUUGAGGGCAAGCAAAGACUAAGUUUGGGGGAGUUGAUAUGUCUAUAAUUUGCAUGAUUUAGGCAUUCAUUCUUCACCACUUUGUCAAUGUUUCAUCCAUAAAUCAUCUCAUUAAGAGUCGUUUUAGUGUGUCUUACAUACUUAGGACGAUUUUGCAUUAGGAUUGCAUGUGCAUGGCAUAUUUGGUUGUUUUCAGGUACUUUGUAUGUUUUUGGAGUUCAAACAGAGGAAAAACAGAACAUGAAGUCGGAAUGCCCAAUGACGCCUUCGGCAAAAGUACUCUAUUGCAGCCUCGGAGCCCUGCCAGGGCAAAUCACUCUAUCGCAACCCCGAAGAAGCAAGCAACUCAGUUUCACUCAAUCGCGAAGCCGGAGGAAGCACCUCAUCAGAACCACUCGAUCACCACUCGAUCACCAAAAGGCCUAUCGGCUCGUUCUGCACUCAUGACAUCCACUCGAUCGCAUUCGAUCACAGGUUCGCUAGACCAUUCAAUCCCGACUUCACUGCAUCUCACUCGAUCGCAAGACGGAGCCCUUGAAGCCCAGUUUGAUCAAUGACAUACUCGAUCACUGGAAAGCUCAUUUCAGCCCGUCAGAUGCCAAUGACACAUUCGGUCGCGGGGUCAUGACGUGAAGAUUCGCUUUAUAUUUAGUUUCCUUAUUUCUUUCAUUUCUCGCUUAUAUAAACUGCCUCUUAGGGUUUUCUCUAGGGCAUCCGUUAUUAUCUCGCUUUUACAUUUUCGCAACUUUGAUAGCCGCAGUGUUUCUCCUGCGACUUUGUAUUUUCACCUUCAAGUAUUUGAUAUUCAGUUUUCGUUUAAGUCUUUCGUCAUUUCUGCUAUCAUGUUUUCAAUCGUUGCUUUGCUAUUGUCUUUGAUUAUGUUUGAGUAGUGAACUAUAUUUCUGAGGAUGGGAUAGAAUAGUUGUGGUUUACUUGGUU